rnacentral:rRNA from 1 species
AGAACGAACGCUGGCGGCAUGCCUAAUACAUGCAAGUCGAACGAACACUUCGGUGUUAGUGGCGCACGGGUGCGUAACGCGUGGGAAUCUGCCCUUGGGUUCGGAAUAACAGUUGGAAACGACUGCUAAUACCGGAUGAUAUCGAAAGAUCAAAGAUUUAUCGCCCAGGGAUGAGCCCGCGUAGGAUUAGCUAGUUGGUGAGGUAAAGGCUCACCAAGGCGACGAUCCUUAGCUGGUCUGAGAGGAUGAUCAGCCACACUGGGACUGAGACACGGCCCAGACUCCUACGGGAGGCAGCAGUAGGGAUAUUGGACAAUGGGCGCAAGCCUGAUCCAGCAAUGCCGCGUGAGUGAUGAAGGCCUUAGGGUUGUAAAGCUCUUUACCCGAGAUGAUAAUGACAGUAUCGGAAGAAUAAGCCCCGGACUAACUCCGUGCCAGCAGCCGC